AGAUUGAACGCUGGCGGCAUGCCUUACACAUGCAAGUCGAACGGCAGCACGGGGGCAACCCUGGUGGCGAGUGGCGAACGGGUGAGUAACAUAUCGGAACGUGCCCUGGAGUGGGGGAUAACUAGUCGAAAGACUAGCUAAUACCGCAUACGAUCUACGGAUGAAAGUGGGGGAUCGCAAGACCUCAUGCUCGUGGAGCGGCCGAUAUCUGAUUAGCUAGUUGGUGGGGUAAAGCCUACCAAGGCAUCGAUCAGUAGCUGGUCUGAGAGGACGACCAGCCACACUGGGACUGACGACACGGCCCAGACCUCCGUACGGGAGGCAGCGACGGUAGGGGUAAUUUUGGAACAAGUGGGCGACAAAGCCUGACUCCAGCAAUCGCCGCGUGAGUGAAAGAAGGCCGUUCGGUUAGUAAGUCUUCGUUUGUACUAAGGGAAGUAAACGGUUCGU
rnacentral:rRNA from 1 species